UCAGUACUUGAAGGUGUUGAUGUGACA
rnacentral:sRNA from 1 species